UGGGGAAUAUUGCGCAAUGGGGGGAACCCUGACGCAGCCAUGCCGCGUGAAUGAAGAAGGCCUUCGGGUUGUAAAGUUCUUUCGGUAUUGAGGAAGGUUGAUGUGAUAAUAGCACAUCAAAUUGACGUUAAAUACAGAAGAAGCACCGGCUAACUCCGUGCCAGCAGCCGCGGUAAUACGGAGGGUGCGAGCGUUAAUCGGAAUAACUGGGCGUAAAGGGCACGCAGGCGGUUAUUUAAGUGAGGCGUGAAAGCCCUGGGCUUAACCUAGGAAUUGCAUUUCAGACUGGGUAACUAGAGUACUUUAGGGAGGGGUAGAAUUCCACGUGUAGCGGUGAAAUGCGUAGAGAUGUGGAGGAAUACCGAAGGCGAAGGCAGCCCCUUGGGAAUGUACUGACGCUCAUGUGCGAAAGCGUGGGGAGCAAACAGGAUUAGAUACCCUGGUAGUCCACGCUGUAAACGCUGUCGAUUUGGGGGUUGGGGUUUAACUUUGGCGCCCGUAGCUAACGUGAUAAAUCGACCGCCUGGGGAGUACGGCCGCAAGGUUA
rnacentral:rRNA from 1 species